UACGUAGGGUGCGAGCGUUAAUCGGAAUUACUGGGCGUAAAGCGUGCGCAGGCGGUUCGCCAAGUCAGGUGUGAAAUCCCCGGGCUUAACCUGGGAAUUGCGCUUGAAACUAGCGGGCUUGAGUGUGGCAGAGGGGGGUGGAAUUCCACGUGUAGCAGUGAAAUGCGUAGAGAUGUGGAGGAACACCGAUGGCGAAGGCAGCCCCCUGGGUCAACACUGACGCCCAUGCACGAAAGCGUGGGGAGCAAACAGG
rnacentral:rRNA from 1 species